AGUCACUGACAUUAGAUACCCGUGUAGUCCUAGCCGUAAACGAUACUCGCUAGGUGUCGGCCACGGUGCGACCGUUGUCGGUGCCGUAGGGAAGCCGAGAAGCGAGCCACCUGGGAAGUACGGCCGCAAGGCUGAAACUUAAAGGAAUUGGCGGGGGAGCACAACAACGGGUGGAGCUUGCGGUUUAAUUGGAUUCAACGCCGGAAAUCUUACCGGGACCGACAGCAACAUGAAGGCCAAGCUGAAGACUUUGCCGGAUUAGCUG
rnacentral:rRNA from 1 species